AUUGAACGCUGGCGGCAGGCCUAACACAUGCAAGUCGAGCGGAUGAAGGGAGCUUGCUCCUGGAUUCAGCGGCGGACGGGUGUGUAAUGCCUAGGAAUCUGCCUGGUAGUGGGGGAUAACGUCCGGAAACGGGCGCUAAUACCGCAUACGUCCUGAGGGAGAAAGUGGGGGAUCUUCGGACCUCACGCUAUCAGAUGAGCCUAGGUCGGAUUAGCUAGUUGGUGGGGUAAAGGCCUACCAAGGCGACGAUCCGUAACUGGUCUGAGAGGAUGAUCAGUCACACUGGAACUGGGACACGGUCCAGACUCCUACGGGAGGCAGCAGUGGGGAAUAUUGGACAAUGGGCGAAAGCCUGAUCCAGCCAUGCCGCGUGUGUGAAGAAGGUCUUCGGAUUGUAAAGCACUUUAAGUUGGGAGGAAGGGCAGUAAGUUAAUACCUUGCUGUUUUGACGUUACCAACAGAAUAAGCACCGGCUAACUUCGUG
rnacentral:rRNA from 1 species